rnacentral:sRNA from 1 species
UAGACAAGAAAAGCUCUAAUAGGAAACUGUAGCUUGGGGGGGGGUUCUGGGAGGAAAAGGACACACACACACACACACACACACACACACACACACACACACACGAUGCACAGCCCACCUGGCACAUAUUUCUUUAGCUUUAUUCUUUCAGCUCACUGUAGAAUAAAGGAAAAAGGAAGAAGCAUAUUCAGAGGUGUGUGUGUGUGUGUGUGUGUGUGUGUGUGUGUGUGUGUGUGUGUGUGUGGUGCACCUCAAUGCCAGCCUAUGAACCAAUGGCAAAUGGGUGACAAUCUCAAAAUUGCAAGCUUGUAACUAUAGCAGUGUCCAGAAUGCCUGUUCUCUGCCUUACGGGUUCAUACUUUAUUUUAGUGAUCCUCUUGUCUUUGGUCAGUCAAUUAUAUCGGUACAUGGAACAUCACAGUCUGAUACGACUUUUAUGAAUAAGAAGGACAUCUUUGACAAAACGGCUUUUAAGUAGCACUAGGAACACCUGUCAUUUGAAGGAUCUGAGGUUUACAGAAGUCCCCAUCUGUAGUUACAUGUGAUGUGGCAGCCACAAGCUCAGCUCACUGAGAGAGAGGAUAGCUUUUGUCACUUCCCUUGAACCUGACUGGUCAGGACUUCCAUUUGCCAGGUGGGGAACUUGCUCUGGGUCAGUUCAGGAUUUCCCCAUCUCCCAUAUAAUGCAGGAGUGAUGACAUCAGACAGGACUGGGUCCCGGCUGAUAGCCAAUAUUCAUGACGAUUCAGAGUUCUCCAGCAUUCUAAGCUCAGGACACCCAGGCAGCCAUCAGCUCAAGGGCCUUGUAGUAAUGACCUGGGCUGAACAGAGUAUCUCACAGCCACUUACUUUUCUGGGCAGCUCUCACACAUGCAUGAUCCACGCAGGAGAAGAAAGACCCACACAUGCAUUCCCACUUUGGAACAACACUUUAGGACCACUGUGGUGACGUCUGAGGCCUCCCUGUGGUCCACAGAGGCCUUCCUUGAUACCACUCCAUAGCUCAAGUCUGUCUCCUACCCAGCUCUACUCUAGGAUUGGAUGUUUUAACCAGAGGUUGUGUCCUGGCCCUGUGCAGAGGUGGAAGUCCUUCUACCACACCCCCUGUGAACUUGCUGGGUGUUAAUGAACAGACAGAUGCAGUUAGUUCAGAAUGGACACUCCGGAGACACACUGUGCAUUACUAAGCCAAUUCUGAUGUCAUUAGAGGUAGCAUUUAUGGACCAGAUAUCUCUGCCUCUGUACCUCAACUUUCUCAUCUGUAAAAAAGUGGUGAUAAUACUAUUCCCAUCACACCAAAAAGGGGAGAAAAAAGGAAAGAGAUGAGAGCAUGCAUUAAACAGUCUAGCAUGAACGUUCUGAGUGAAUGCUGGUUGUUCUAUAACGUACACAAGCCUUUGUGCUUUCUACGGGGUGUCCUGACCAGUUUUAACAUGACACAACUUAGAGUCGUCCAAGAGAAGAGCUUCAAUGGAGGAGUUGCCUAGAUCAGACAGGUUGGUGGGGAAUAUGUUGACUAUUACUUGAUGUAAGAAAGCCCAGCCCAUGGUGGGUGGUACCCUCCUUAGGAAGAUGGUCAGGGUUAGGGUCAGAGUACAUGACAGGUGCCCACAAGCCAACCAGCAGGCAGCACUCCCUACAGCCCCUGAUGCACUUCGUGGAUGGGAAGGGAUUUAAUGCUGUGUGGAAUGGCCCGUAGACCUGCCUUCGAGUUCCUGCCUUGAUGCCUUCAGCGAUGCACUGUGACUUGGAGUUGUAAGUAAACCUGAAUUGCUUAUGGUCGGGCAGUUUUAUCACAGCAACAAAAAUGAAAUGUGAACAGAGGGCGAAACUUGAGAAAUUCAACUGCCCUGAAAAGACCUCACGUGUCCCCUCCGUCUUUGCUUCUGAGACAAUGAAAUUGAAACAGCCUCAGAGACCAUGUAAAAGGAAGAUCAAGCAAGGGGCAAAAACAUUAUCCUGUUAUCCAGACCGAGAUCUUUUUGCAUUGAGAUCUGCCAAGUGCUUCUAGUCAAACUUCAAGCUCUGAAGCUUUCACUUAGGCUACGCCAAAUCGGGAGAAAUAGGAAGGUGGGAGAAAGGACUGCUCUGGACGAAUCAAAACAACACUCCACAGGAAGCAAGAACACCGGGAAACCAGACAAAGUCCACCGAUUUAUUAAAAGAACCUCUUGUUUCCACAACAUUCUAUGGAGUUAAGUCCAGGCUGAAAAGGAAGGCCCAUCCUCCCAGUAUGGCACAAAUGUGAACAAGCAGCCUCAAGGUCCUGAUGCCGCAGCUCCGAGCUUCCAAGAUGUCUGCCGUGAUUCCUCGGCCAUGACGAGUUGCAGCCUCCGAAAGCCUGAACUGAACCACAGUCUUCCUCUUUAGCGUUCCUUCGGCCGGGUAUUUGCUAUGGCAACCAGAGAAGUUUCCAGAACCUCAUGAGCCUUCCAACCUCGAAGUUCCCUGUAAGCAUAGAGGAGUAUUAACAACGCUUUAAAACCCGGCACGGAUUCCUGGUUAUGUGCUGAUUUAAUGACAGUUGGCAACACCAGCUAUAAAAUACAUUUCUAGAGGGAAAAUCUUAAUACACACUUAGAAUCUUGCAUGGAGUUCCUUUAUUAACUAUUUCAUCAAUGGACUGUAGGGGAAAAGGCCCCAAAGACUCCUUGCUUCCAACUAGCCAUCUUAAGAAGUUAUUAAAGGGCCAGCCCUUCAUGAUAGGCAUGUGCUUUCCUUGAAGCAGGAUGAUCUAGCAUAGAGUUAUGACGUCGAGCACCGCUUCUCCAAAAUGCAUGAGAUCAAUGGUUUUGUAUUUGGGGUUACUCUUCAUCUUAAAUCUAUUAGUGGGGAUGAGGGAAAUGCAGAAUUUUAGAAGUGGGACGGAUUCAUUUACAGUUUGACAGGGUGUAAAGGUUUCUUUAGUUAACCUCGGACUAUGCCUCAGGCUUUACAGCAGACACUGUAAAUACUGCAGAAGCAGCGUAAGUUACUUUCCUAACGUUUUCCUAAGUUAGGUGUGUGUGUGUGUGUGUACACACAUUUGUGUGUGUGUGCUUGCAUGUGUUUGUGUAUGUGUGU